AGCUGGAUGUGGAAAAAAUAACUGAGUUGUUUGGUGGUGGAGCUACAACAGAGGGCAGCUACCCACCGGUGUGUGACAGAAAGGACAUGCCGCCAACGAGACAUAUGAGGCCGGGCAGGCGAUUGCUAACGCGGUGGUCAAUCAUGGAUCAGGGAAAGCGAAGGCAGGAGCGUGAGGUGAACUGAAUUUCAGGACUGGAAGAUCCAAACUGUUAUCGUCAGAUGAGAGGACAUCGGUUACUGUCCAAAAGCUCGACUGAAAUUUGUAGCUAACCACACAAAGAAGUCGACAACCUCCUAAAGAAAAGUUUGAUGGUCAGACGAGACAAGUUGUUACAGACGGGACAGACAUGGCUGGGGGACAAGAAAGGGAGAAAGAAAGAUGAACGAAAAGAAAAACAGAGGGAAGAGGGACAGUGAGAAAGGGCACUUAAAAAACAAACAACAACAACAACUGGGUGUUUCAACAGGACUGUGACUGUAAUCACACAUAAAUUGAUAAAGCAGACCAACACUAGACAUCCGGAAUUUCCUUACCAAAGCCACGACCUCAACCUUGUUGACAAUUUGUGGACUGCUUAAAAUAAAAAAAGAAAGAAAAAAAAAUAUUCAGCGUCAAGGAAUCCUACCAAUUUUACUUGUUAAAUUUUGACACUGUGUGGAUUAGAAAAAAUCCAAAAUAAAUUUGAACUUGUGCACCAUAUUCUUGUCUUCUUUUUUUUUUUUUUUUUUUUUUU
ensembl:lncRNA